rnacentral:rRNA from 1 species
GACGAACGCUGGCGGCGUGCUUAACACAUGCAAGUCGAGCGGUAAGGCCCUUUCGGGGGUACACGAGCGGCGAACGGGUGAGUAACACGUGGGUGACCUGCCCCAGCUCUGGGAUAAGCCUGGGAAACCGGGUCUAAUACCGGAUAUGACUCCAUGACGCAUGUUGUGGGGUGGAAAGCCUUGUGCGGCUGAGGAUGGGCCCGCGGCCUAUCAGCUUGUUGGUGGGGUGAUGGCCACCAAGGCGACGACGGGUAGCCGGCCUGAGAGGGCGACCGGCCACACUGGGACUGAGACACGGCCCAGACUCCUACGGGAGGCAGCAGUGGGGAAUCUUGCGCAAUGGGCGAAAGCCUGACGCAGCGACGCCGCGUGAGGGAUGACGGCCU